CGGCGGACGGGUGAGUAACGCGUGGGUAACCUGCCUCAUACAGGGGGAUAACGGUUAGAAAUGACUGCUAAUACCGCAUAAGACCACAGCACCGCAUGGUGCGGGGUAAAAACUCCGGUGGUAUGAGAUGGACCCGCGUCUGAUUAGCUGGUUGGUAAGGUAACGGCUUACCAAGGCGACGAUCAGUAGCCGACCUGAGAGGGUGACCGGCCACAUUGGGACUGAGACACGGCCCAA
rnacentral:rRNA from 1 species